GAACAAAGCCUUGCUGAAUACCUAAGUGACUGACUAACGGGGCUGAGAUAACAAGACACAGAAAGGAGAGGAAACCAGAAACAAACAAACAUACAAAUAAAUCGGACAAGGAAAAGGCCACAGUGCACCUGGUUCGUGUUACCAUUUAAGUUUGGCAAGCAAUGGUGUGUCUGAUGUUCAUCUUGAAAUGUGUCCUGUCUCUGGAAUGGCCCUGUUCAGACACCAUAUUCUCUCCACUACACAUACAUUAAGCACCUAUUAUACACACUCAGUGGAUAUUCACAAA